CCUACGGGAGGCAGCAGUGGGGAAUAUUGCACAAUGGGGGAAACCCGGAUGCAGCGAGGCCGCGGGGAGGAAGAAGGUUUUCGGAUUGUAAACUCCUUGUAUCAGGGACGAGAAUGACGGUACCUGAAGAAAAAGCUACGGCUAACGACGUGCCAGCAGCCGCGGUAAUACGUAGGGAGCGAGCGUUGUCCGGAAUGACUGGGGGUAAAGGGAGCGUAGGCGGGACGGGAAUGCAGAUGUGAAAACUGAGGGCUCCACUUUACGACUGCAUUUGAAACUGCUGUUCUUGAGUGCAGUAGAGGUAAGCGUAAUUCCUCGUGUCGCUGUUACAUGCGUAGCUAUUAGGCGGACCAUCGGUGGCGCAGGCGGCUUACUGGGCUUUUACUGCCGCUGAGGCUCGAACGCGUGGGGAGCAAACAGGAUUAGCUCCCCUUGUCGUC
rnacentral:rRNA from 1 species